GGCGCAGCCGUCGGCGCGCAGCGAUGACGUAGCACACCAACCAAUGCAAGCUAGCGGUGAGGACUAAAGGACAGCAACUGUUUGUGGGCGGAGCGUAAUAGCGCUUUUUUUUUUCUUCCCCCCCCUGAUUGGACGCUGGUCUAUGCUUUCCCGGAUCUGUGUGUUUGGAGCUACUCGGGUUCCCUCCACUGUUAGCUCUGCUGUCCUCAGGGUCUAAGGCUAUGCACCCUGCUGAGGCCGCGCUGUUGUAAAGGGACAGGCUGGUACAGACGGCAUGCACUCACUACCUUGCCUGGGCAUAAGCUUUUCAUGGCCACUGUGCCUCAAGAUCUUCAGGUCAAGAUCCAGGUCAGAAGCCUGUGUCUUCCAGCCUCAAGAUCUGGCUCACAGGGUGACUCCUGAACUCCCACAGCUGGGUCCUGGACUCAUUUUCUAAGAAGACACAGGUGAGCUGAGCACAAGCAGUUGUUGCUUUCCACUCUUACGUCACUGAAGAUACAACAUGAGCAACUCCUUCAAGCUGCUGUGACUUUGGUUUGCUAGAGCAUAACCUGAGCUGAAAUGAAUGGUUCGUUGUCAUGGGAGCUUUACCCAGAAAUAAGAAAGCUCACUGAGACAGAGAGUGACCAAACCCCAGAAGUCCCCAUUGCCUGUGUCACUCAGACCGUGACCAUGUCCCUCAGCCUUUCUCUGGAUAGCCAAGAGAUACCAUUGACUCUACAGUGGUUCCUGACUGUCCUGUGGCCAUGACUUCUGAAAAGCAGUUCUUCUGAAACUAGCCAAUUCUAGAAAGAUGUAAAAUGCAGAAAUUUUGACUCAAGAAGCAAUAGCACAUAAAUAAAAGGGGACUCAUGUUGAAG